CGACGCCGCGUGUAGGACGAAGUCCUUCGGGAUGUAAACUACUGUCAGGGGUUACCAAGUUCUGAGGAGCCCCAGAGGAAGGGACGGCUAACUCUGUGC
rnacentral:rRNA from 1 species